rnacentral:rRNA from 1 species
UAGCCGUAAACUAUGCUCGCUAGGUGUCAGGGACGGUGCGACCGUUUCUGGUGCCGCAGGGAAGCCGUGAAGCGAGCCACCUGGGAAGUACGGUCGCAAGGCUGAAACUUAAAGGAAUUGGCGGGGGAGCACCACAACGGGUGGAGCUUGCGGUUUAAUUGGAUUCAACGCCGGAAAUCUUACCGGGACCGACAGCAACAUGAAGGCCAGGCUGAAGACUUUGCCGGAUUAGCUGAGAGGAGGUGCAUGGCGUAGACGUCU